rnacentral:rRNA from 1 species
GACGAACGCUGGCGGCGUGCUUAACACAUGCAAGUUGAACGGGCGAUAUUGGAAGCUUGCUGAAGAUAUCGCUAGUAGCGGACGGGUGAGUAAUGCAUGAGGACCUGCGUGCCGGAAGGGGACAACAGUUGGAAAAGGCUGACAAUACCCAGUAUGCCGACAGGUGAAAGGAAUGGAGACAUUCCGCCGGGAGAGGGACUCAUGUCCUAUCAGCGGGUUGGUGAGGUAACGGCGCACAAAGGCGACGAAGGGUAGCCGGCCUGAGAGCGGGAACGACCACACUGGAACUGAGAGACGGUCCAGACUCCUACGGGAGGCAGCAGUGGGGAAUAUUGGGCAAUGGGGGCAACCCUGACCCAGCGACGCCGCGUGAGGGAAGAAGGCCUUCGGGUCGUAAACCGCUUUUGUACGUGAAGAAGCAGAUGACGGUAGCGUACGAAUAAGUCCCGGCUAACUACGUGCCAGCAGCCGCCGUAAAAC